AUGUGCGGCGGCGCGAUCCUCAAGGACCUCAAGGUCCCCGCGCCGACGCGGAAGGUGACGGCGGCGGUGCUGUGGCCCGAGAAGAACAAGCCCAAGCGGGCCGACGGCGUGGCCCGGCGCCUCGCGGGGCUCGGCCGGCGCGGGGGGCUCGGGCUGGACGACGGCGACGUGGACUUCGAGGCCGACUUCGAGGAGUUCGAGGCCGACUCCGGGGACUCCGACGUGGAGCUCGGGCGCGCCGGGGUUGCUGGGAAGGACGGCCACGACGUGGUCGUCGAGAUCAAGCCCUUAUUCGCCGUCAAGAGGUCCCUCUCCCAAGAUGACUUAAGCACCAUGACUACUGCUGGUUUUGAUGGUCCUGCACAAAGGUCAGCAAAAAGGAAGAGAAAGAACGAGUUCAGGGGUAUCCGCCAGCGCCCCUGGGGUAAGUGGGCUGCUGAAAUCAGAGAUCCUAGCAAGGGUGUCCGUGUCUGGCUUGGUACUUUCAACAGUGCUGAAGAAGCUGCAAGAGCUUAUGAUGUUGAAGCACGAAGGAUCCGUGGCAAGAAGGCCAAGGUUAACUUUCCAGAGGAACUAACAGUUCAUCAGAAGCGCCGUGCUUGCCCUGCUGCUCCUAAAGUUCCCAAGUCAAGCGCAGCACAGGAACCUACCGUCAUACCAGCAGUCAACAACCUUGCCAACCCAAAUGCUUUCGUCUACCCGCCUGCUGACUUUGCAUCAAAGCAGCCACUUGUUCAGCCUGACAACGUGCCAUAUGUUCCCGCAAUUAACUCUGCUGCCCCUGUUGAAGCUCCUGUUAUGAAUAUGUACUCUGACCAGGGAAGCAACUCCUUUGGCUGCUCUGACUUGGGCUGGGAGUAUGACACCAAGACUCCAGAUAUAUCAUCCAUUGCUCCCAUUUCCACCAUUGCUGAAGGAACAGAGUCUGCACUUCUCCAGAGUAACACCUACAACCCAGCAGUGAUUGCCGAAGGAGCUGAAUCUGCGCUUGUCCAGAGCAACACCUACAACUCAGUGGUGCCUCCUGUUAUGGAGAACAAUGCUGUCGAUUUUGAGCCUUGGAUGAGGUUUCUUGUUGAUGAUGGCGUGGAUGAGCCGAUAGAUAGCCUUCUGAAUUUUGAUGUGCCUCAGGAUGUCGUUGGCAACAUGGACCUUUGGAGCUUCGAUGACAUGCCCAUCUGUGGCGAAAUUUUCUGA
rnacentral:rRNA from 1 species